GCCUAAAGGGGCCGUAGCUUGAUAAUAGGGUCCCUUGAGAAAUCCGCCGGCUUAACUGGCGGGCGUUCAGGGGAAACUUGUUUUCUAGGGACCGGGAGAGGUGAGGGGUACUGCCGGGGUAGGAGUGAAAUCCUGUAAUCCCGGUGGGACCACCUAUGGCGAAGGCAUCUCACCAGAACGGGUCCGACAGUGAGGAACGAAAGCUGGGGGAGCAAACCGGAUUAGAUACCCGGGUAGUCCCAGCUGUAAACUAUGUGCGUUAGGUGUGUCAGUGACCACGUGUCACUGAGGUGCCGAAGGGAAACCGUGAAACGCACCGCCUGGGGAGUACGGUCGCAAGGCUGAAACUUAAAGGAAUUGGCGGGGGAGCACCACAACGGGUGGAGCCUGCGGUUUAAUCGGACUCAACGCCGGGAAUCUCACCGGAUAAGACAGCUGAAUGAUAGUCGGGAUGAAGACUCUACUUGACUAGCUGAGAGGAGGUGCAUGGCCGUCGUCAGUUCGUACUGUGAAGCAUCCUGUUUAGUCAGGCAACGAGCGAGACCCACGCCAACAGUUGCCAGCAUGGUCUCCGGACUGAUGGGGACACUGUUGGGACCGCCUCUGCUAAAGAGGAGGAAGGAAUGGGCAACGGUAGGUCAGCAUGCCCCGAAUUAUCCGGGCUACACGCGGGCUACAAUGGGCAGGACAAUGGGCAUCGACACCGAGAGGUGAAGGCAAUCUCCUAAACCUGUCCUUAGUUCGGAUUGUGGGCUGAAACUCGCCCACAUGAAGCUGGAAUCCGUAGUAAUCGCGUUUCAAAAUAGCGCGGUGAAUACGUCCCUGCUCCUUGCACACACCGCNC
rnacentral:rRNA from 1 species